rnacentral:lncRNA from 1 species
GACCGUCAACAGCCUUCCAAGGAGAAAGAUAAGGCCGGGGGAGAAAGAAAAAAGGGCUUGGCCCAGAAGAAAGAGGAGAGAGCUUGGCCUACGGGUGGAGAGAAUGGGGAGCCGGUUGGACCAGAAUUAGAGAGAGGGGAAAGUUGUUAUCCUUUUUCUUUUGUUUGUUUUUUUAUUUCCAAACCUUUUUCAAAUCCAUUUUAAAAUCUGUUUGAAAUAUUUUCAAACUU